UAUUACCAUUUUUACUACCCUGACAAGGUAACAACCUCUGUCUCUCAUUAGGUAAUAAAUUUGUCACCAAAAUUGUCAACAUUGGAAGUGACAAACAGUAUAUCCUAUCCGGAAAUAAUUUAUUUCCUUCGAGGAAAUAAUUUCGUCUCCAAAAUCAUUUCCAAUAGGUGACAAUUUGUCUCCUUAAAGCCCAGCGCAAACUUUAGUCACUAAAGUUUAGUGGCAGUUAAGUUUUCUCUCACAAACGUUUCUCUCUCGCACCUGGCAGAAUAAAGAAAAUUGUUCGAGUUUUGCAUCUUACCAGAGGAAAAAAUUAGUAAUUAGAGGUUCAAGUUAUGGAUUACCCUACAUUUCAGGUAAAUAAUUUUAAUUCAUUGUUCAUAUUAUGCUUUUGCUGUAAUUUUAUUGUUUUUUGUCCUAUAAAUAUUUACACUAAAACAAGUUUUUUGUAGAUCCGGAUGCGCAAAUUUCGUUCAAAGAUGAAUUUGGCGCAGAUUGAGAUGAAGAUAUUUUCGCAAUUUUACUGCAAUAACAUUUCAUCUCUAACGUUGCGUGUUCCACGGAACUCUUCGUGGAAGACGUUUUUAUGUUGACGCUUCAUUUCUGUUGGCCGUAAUUAGACCAGUUGGUCUAAUUUGAAUUCAUAACCAGCGUCAAAUUCAAAGAAAUGAUCGAAAUGCCAAAUUAUAAACAGGUGACAGAUAACGUAAAUCUUCAGCAGCGAGCCAGCUAGUACGAGGAUCAAUUUUCACUAACAUUAUAAGUAAUAUAAGUAUGUACAUAUAUAUAUAAGCCUGCACAAUUUAAUUUUUAUAUUUUUAAGUGUAUGUACGUAGUAUGUAGAGACAUGCGAAGAAAUUUAAUCUCU